GCUGCAACUCGCCUACAUGAAGUCGGAAUGCUAGUAAUCGCGGAUCAGCAUGCCGCGGUGAAUACGUUCCCGGGCCUUGUACACACCGCCCGUCACACCAUGGGAGUCGGUAACACCCGAAGCCUGUAGUCUAACCGCAAGGAGGACGCAGUCGAAGGUGGGAUUGAUGACUGGGGUGAAGUCGUAACAAGGUAAC
rnacentral:rRNA from 1 species